UACGGAGGAUCCAAGCGUUAUCCGGAUUUAUUGGGUUUAAAGGGUGCGUAGGCGGCUUUUUAAGUCAGGGGUGAAAGACGGUAGCUCAACUAUCGCAGUGCCCUUGAUACUGAAGAGCUUGAAUGGACUAGAGGUAGGCGGAAUGUGACAAGUAGCGGUGAAAAUGCAUAGAUAUGUCACAGAACACCGAUUGCGAAGGCAGCUUACUAUGGUUUAAUUGACGCUGAGGCACGAAAAGCGUGGGGGAUCAAAACAGG
rnacentral:rRNA from 1 species